ensembl:lncRNA
AACUAGACCUUCAAACCACAAUAGUGGCUAAUUCACACAAAUACAAGUGAGACAGAAGCAGGAAACACUGGAGAAAUUCACCCUGAAGCUGGUUUUGAUAAUACAAACACAUUUAGAGUAAGUAAAUAAUACCUGUUAUAUUAUUAGUUUACCAUUUUAUUAUUUGCUUUUUUAUUCCUAGUUUUUGGUUUCCG